CGUAAGCCCAUCAGAAUUAUGGAAAAAUCCAAAUAAAUUACUAAGUGGCAGUGAGAAAAGGCGUACAGUUACAGAAAAAAAACGUAAAUUUUUAUGGAACAUCCAUUCUAGUGCCGUUAUCUGAGCAUAUUCUAGUGAGCUCAUUUACAGUUCCGUACAACAAUGGCAUCCAGCGGCGAGCAAAAUAAAUCCUUAAGAUCAAUAGGUACCCACCCUAAAAUAAGGACAUCAAGGCAUCGUUAUUAUGGUAAAAAUAUAUAUCCAUCGGUUGUUGCAAUGAUUCACUUCAUUCAGUUGAUUAUUUGGAAUCUUUUCAUAUAUAAAGUGGCCCCAGAAGUCGAAGAAAAUGUUGAAAAUGCCGCACAAAAUUUAGUACCUGAAUUGCCCUAUUUCUGGUGGUAGGGCUUGCCUAGAACUUUUUUAUUCAUCCGUUUUUGUUUGU